AGCGAACGCUGGCGGCAGGCUUAACACAUGCAAGUCGAGCGGGUGUAGCAAUACAUCAGCGGCAGACGGGUGAGUAACGCGUGGGAACGUACCUUUUGGUUCGGAACAACACAGGGAAACUUGUGCUAAUACCGGAUAAGCCCUUACGGGGAAAGAUUUAUCGCCGAAAGAUCGGCCCGCGUCUGAUUAGCUGGUUGGUAGGGUAAAGGCCUACCAAGGGGACGAUAAGUAGAUGGUCUGGGAGGCUGAUCAGCCACAUUGGGACUGAGACACGGCCCAAACUCUUACGGGAGGCAGGAGUGGGGAAUAUUGGAAAAUGGGGGCAACCCUGAUCCAGCCCUGCCGCGUGAGUGAUGAAGGCCCUAGGGUUGUAAAGCUCUUUUGUGCGGGAAGAUAAUGACGGUACCGCAAGAAUAAGCCCCGGCUAACUUCGUGCCAGCCGCCGCCGUAAAAC
rnacentral:rRNA from 1 species